GAUGAACGCUGGCGGCGUGCCUAAUACAUGCAAGUCGAGCGAACGGACGAGAAGCUUGCUUCUCUGAUGUUAGCGGCGGACGGGUGAGUAACACGUGGAUAACCUACCUAUAAGACUGGGAUAACUUCGGGAAACCGGAGCUAACACCGGAUAAUAUUUUGAACCGCAGGGUUCAAAAGAGAAAGACGGUCUUGCUGUCACUUAUAGAUGGAUCCGCGCUGCAUUAGCUAGUUGGUAAGGUAACGGCCUACCAAGGCAACGAUGCAUAGCCGACCUGAGAGGGUGAUCGGCCACACUGGAACUGGGACACGGUCCAGGCUCCUACGGGAGGCAGCAGUAGGGAAUCUUCCGCAAAGGGCGAAAGCCUGACGGAGCAACGCCGCGUGAGUGAUGAAGGUCUUCGGAUCGUAAAACUCUGUUAUUAGGGAAGAACAUAUGUGUAAGUAACUGUGCACAUCUUGACGGUACCUAAUCAGAAAGCCACGGCUAACUACGUG
rnacentral:rRNA from 1 species